rnacentral:rRNA from 1 species
GACGAACGCUGGCGGCGUGCUUAACACAUGCAAGUCGAACGGAAAGGCCCUGCUUUUGUGGGGUGCUCGAGUGGCGAACGGGUGAGUAACACGUGAGUAACCUGCCCUUGACUUUGGGAUAACUUCAGGAAACUGGGGCUAAUACCGGAUAGGAGCUCCUGCUGCAUGGUGGGGGUUGGAAAGUGUCGGCGGUUGGGGAUGGACUCGCGGCUUAUCAGCUUGUUGGUGGGGUAGUGGCUUACCAAGGCUUUGACGGGUAGCCGGCCUGAGAGGGUGACCGGCCACAUGGGAAUGGGAUAAAGGCCCAGAUUCCAACGGGAGGGAGCAGUGGGGAAUAUUGAACAAAGGGCGAAGCCUGAUGCAGCAACGCCGCGUGCGGGAUGACGGCCUUCGGGUUGUAAACCGCUUUCGCCUGUGACGAAGCGUGAGUGACGGUAAUGGGUAAAGAAGCACCGGCUAACUACGUG